rnacentral:tRNA from 1 species
GCCGAAGUGGUGGAACUGGUAGACACGCUAUCUUGAGGGGGUAGUGGAGAGAUCCGUGCGGGUUCGAGUCCCGCCUUCGGCACCA